UACGUAGGGGGCUAGCGUUGUCCGGAUUUAUUGGGCGUAAAGAGCGUGUAGGCGGCCAGGUAGGUCUGCUGUGAAAACUGGAGGCUUAACCUCCAGACGUCGAUGGAAACCGUAUGGCUAGAGUCCGGAAGAGGAGAGUGGAAUUCCUGGUGUAGCGGUGAAAUGCGCAGAUAUCAGGAAGAACACCCGUGGCGAAGGCGGCUCUCUGGGACGGUACUGACGCUGAGACGCGAAAGCGUGGGGAGCGAACAGG
rnacentral:rRNA from 1 species